GACGUAGGGCGCGAGCGUUGUCCGGAUUUAUUGGGCGUAAAGGGCGCGUAGGCGGCCAUGCGUGUCUUCCGUGAAAUCCCUCGGCUCAACUGAGGACGUGCGGAAGAAACUGCAAGGCUCGAGUCCGGGAGAGGGGGGUGGAAUUCCCAGUGUAGCGGUGAAAUGCGUAGAUAUUGGGAGGAACACCGGUGGCGAAGGCGGCCCCCUGGACCGGUACUGACGCUGAGGCGCGAAAGCGUGGGGAGCAAACAGG
rnacentral:rRNA from 1 species